CUUGGUGACAAUAGCGUUUUGGACCCACCUGAUCCCAUGCCGAACUCAGUAGUGAAACGAAACAGCGCCGAUGAUAG
rnacentral:rRNA from 1 species